rnacentral:sRNA from 1 species
AAAAACAAAUUAAUAAAAAGCGGCGAUUAAUAAAUUUUGGAAUUAACAAUUAUAUUUUCGUUAAAAAAAAAGGGUUUCCGACGACCGCACCGAUAAUUAAAUUGGAUUUACAAUGGACCGGACCAUAGUAAAUUUUAAAAAAACGAGGAUAUAAUUAUAUUUUGGACGUAUUUAAAUCGUUUAAAAAAAAAUUUGUUUUACGCAAACCGUUUCCGCAAAACCGCAAUGGACCCAUUAUUAUAAUAAAAAAAAACCGUUUCCGCCAAAAAAAAUUAACGGAAAACCGGAAUUUGUAAUUAAUAAAAUUUUAACGUCCCGAUUAUUUGGCCGGAAUAAAAUAUUGCAAUACCAGGUUAUAUAGCAAAAAUAUAAUCCAAAUAAUACGUGGUACCCGGCUGAAAAUUUCAAAAAUUCAGCGACAACCUUUAACAAUUUCCAUAAAAAAUAUAAAAAUGCCGCAAAACCGCCGAAACAAUUGGUAAUUUGGAUAAAAACCGCUACCGAAAAUAAGUUGGACGAACCGAAUUAGGAGGAUAAUGUGGCAAAACAUGGAAAAUUAAAUAUUAAAAAAAAAAAACGACGAUAUAAUUAAUUUGAUAAAAAUUUCGUAUAAUUUUUUGCGUCGAUAUACGAGGUUUGGAAAAAGGUAAUAUAAUAUUUGGACUAUAAGAUUACCAGACCCUAACCCUAACCCUGGACCAACGACCCACCAGGGUAAUAUUUUUAUCGAUAUCGCGUCAAAUUUAGAAUUUUGUUUGUUUCCUUUCCUUUCCUUAAAAUAAAAUCUUCGUCGAUAAGCGCCAAUAGACUAGUUUCCGUACUAUGUUUACCCUGGCCGUAACACUUAUAAACUUCGAGAACAAAAGCCAAAAUAACGUAAAUUAUAUACCUAAGAAUAUAAAUAUUAAAUUUAAUAACCCUUUUAUAAAUAAUAUAAGUAACAAAUUAAUUAUUCACGAUAAAAUAAUUAAUUUUCAUGGGAAAAAUUAAUAUGGGCUUGUUAUAAACGUCUAUUAUACCACAAUUGCUACAUAUAGUAUAUUAUAUUAAAGUUUUAAUCCACAUAUCCAAAAUAUAUUAAUUCCAAACAAAACGUCCUCCACUUUAUAUUGGACAAUGCUGCCAUUAUCCCUAUUUGGUGCAAUUUGGAUUAUUUAUUAAAUAUAAAAAACGUAAAUAUUACUUUUAAAUGGGGUAAUAGCUCAUUCUUAAAAAUAAAUAAAACUGGUAAAAUAAAAAUAAUUUAUACCAAUACCGGUAUAAUCGAAUAUAUGAAUAACGUGUACUGUAUAGCGAAUAUGGGAAUAAAUAUACUGUCCGUUGCACCAUUAUAUAAUUAUAUUAUAACCUUUAUAAAUAAUAAAGUAGAAAUAAAAAAUAAAGAAAAUAUAAUAAUAAUGGAAGGAAAAAAAUAAACGGAUUAUAUAACCUUCUAAUCCAAAUCUCGGAUAAUAACUUUAAUAUAACGUUAUAUACGGAAGAAAGGAUAACUUUAAAUACUUUAUAAAGAAUGUACGUUAAAUUCGGGUAUAUUGGUUAAACACCAAUUUUAAAACUAAUAUAAACGAGGAAGAUAAAAAUAACCAAAAACAAUAUACAAAAAUAUAAUAAUUAUAUUUGCGAAAUUUGCGUAAAAGCAAAAGUCAAGCGGAGUAUAAACAAAAUUUCUACCAAUAUUACCAAUUAUAAUAUUUUUAAUAGCAUAUAUUCCCAUUUGGGUGGCCCAAUAGAACCAUUUGUAUAUAAUAAUUAUAAAAAUUAUAUUACAUUUUAAAAUUAAAAAUUACGUUAUUUGCGUAUUAUAUUAUUAAAAAUCGAAGCAAGUGUAUUAAUUGCAUUUAAUAUAUAUAAAAAGGAAAUGGAUGAUAAUACCGCUAAUAUAAACGGUAAAAAAAAUAUAAAACAGUUUUUUACUAAUAACGGAGGCGAAUAUGUAAGUAACUAAUUUAAAGACAAGUUGUAAAAUAACAGUAUUACCCACUAUUUAACACCGGUUUAUGUAAAAAAACUCUAAGAAGGUUACGAGGCAGUUUUGAAGUUUUAAAGUUAAAAAUCACUUAUAGGGUUAAGUUAAACCGUAAAAAUAGCAGAUAACCGCUUGCUAGCGAAUAGUAGAAAUCUUAUUAAUUGUACAAUUAAUUCGUUAAUUUGUUGUUAUUAUUAUAAUUAUUAUUAUAUUUAAUCCUAAUAUUGUUAUACGUGUUUAAUUUUGUUAUUAUAUAUUUUCGAUCCGGAUAGCCGGAAAUGCGGGGUAAAACCACGUAAUUUAUUCUGGCCACGUAGGGCCGGUUAAAACCGUUAAUUUGGAUUAUUAAUUACACGUAUAAGAGAAUGCGACAAUAGUGGGAAUUAAACCCAUGCAUUUAAUAUAUUUGUUAUAUUAAUUAUUCCAUAAAUUAUACCAUUAAAUUAUAAUUGUUUUAUAAAAUGAGGUAAUACGAUAAAAAAAGUGAAUAAUAAAUAUAAUAUCGUUGCGCGAAUUGUACGCAAUUAGGGAAAUAACAAAAAUUUGUUGGAUAAACGGACGUAAUAAUCCAGUGAAUAUUAUAACGAAAAAUGUCCCGACGACGUAUUUACCAAAUUAAUUUUAACCAACAAAAUAACGGUUAAAAUCGAGGUUUAUAUUAAAAAACGUACGAUUCGGGAAUUAUAUUAGCAUAUUACAAAACAAAAAAAGGGAAAAGAAUUUUUAUUUAUAUUUAGUAAAAGAAAAUCCAACGCACGCAGGAGCGCGUAAUAAAAACAUAAUAAAACCCAUUAAAAACCAACGUACGCAGGCACGCGUAACAAAAAUAACAGAAAACUUAUUAAGAAAAAAUAAAAAAUAAACCCCAAACCCCCAAAAAUAAAAAAGUCGCACGGCCGCGAUAAUUAUUCCAGGAAAAUGGGUAUAUUAGUAAAACCGAACGUACGACUACCAAAUUAAAAACCGCUAUAUUGUGAACCGCCGUGCGAACUACCGCUAUUUAAUUUGGCCGGAGUAACGUUCCCGGCGUGGUAAUGCAAAUAUUAAAUACCACGGUUUUAUUAAACGUAUUCGGUAUAAGUACCGUUAUAAUAAAAAAAAACGCACGUAAUACCGGAAUUUGGAAAACAUAUUAGGGUUAUUUUAUUUGGAAAAACAACGGAAAACGGUGCGUUUACGCGAUUAAAUUAAAAUAAUACGGAAAUAAUUUUCGCAACGGAUAAUAAUCGCAAAUUAAUAACGAUUUUAAUUUCGAUAUCGCGCGUUCGCCGUUUUACCGUGGCGCGAUAUCGAAUUUCAUAUAAUACGGUGCUAGUUUAAAUACGCGAUAAAAAAUAAUAUUUCUAUUAAUAGCCAAAUUACGGAAAAAAACGCGAUUACCCGCGGACGUAAUAGGUAAAAUAAUUCAAAUUUCAUUUUGGAACCUGCGUAUAAUAACGGGACCGGCGAUAGAAUUAACGGUCGAAAUAAUAAGAUUAAUAGGGACGAGAAAUAUAAUAAUAAUUUUACAAAUACGCGUAUAAAGAAAUAACGAUAAAAAAUAAAAAAUAAAAAUACAAAUUAUUAAUAGUAAAAAAAAUUAAACGUAUAAUCGAUGAUUAAUGGAAAAUUAAUAAAAACAAAAUUGGAAAAAAAAUUAAAGGCCGAAUCGAGGGAAAAAAAACGUUAAUAUAAACCUGAAAAAAGUAAAUUACCUCGAUUAACUAAUUAAUCGCACGCGCUAUAUAAUAAAAAUUCGUUAAUAAUAAAAAAUAAAUUAUUUUUUCAAAUGAAAAAAAUACGUAAUAACUAUAACCAAUAUAGAAUAAAUUAUAAUUAUUAAUCAAACGUAUAACGGAUAAUAAAAUAGGUAAAUAACCGUAAUUUACGGUUAAAAAAAUAAAAUAUACGCGCACGUACGGUUACGGGAUUAUUUGGAAAUAUUAUUCUAUUUAUACCAUUUUUCCUAUUUAUUAUUUAACUAUUACUUGUUAAAUUAUAAAACCAAAAACCUCGUGGCGUAAUGGGUGUUUAUUUAUACCCCCAAAAAACGACGAACGCCGCAGGUUUAAUAUUUGCAAAACUUAUCCUUUUUACCAAUUAUAAAAAAGCUAUACGCGCGCGUUUAAUAACAAAUUACCAAUAUUGGAAUAAUUUUGUUCGCGCGCGUGUAAAAUAGGGAAUUACCACGGGCCGGGAUUGCGGCCCCGGCGACCGGGUUAUUAAACAGGAAAUACGGGCCGUAUAAAAAUUUUCACCCGGCGGUAAACGUUAAAUUGUAAUCGUAUAAUUUAAAUAAAAAAUAAACCGAAUAUAUCCGAAUAACAAAAGUAUAAUAUUUUUACCCAUGAAUAAAUUUACCACGCAAUGCAUUAUUAGUAAACCUGUAAGUUUACGAACAUUAAUAAAAUUUAUGCAGCGCUCGGUUUACCCUGUAACGUAAGGAGGGUUAAUUUAAAUAUUAAAAUUAGGGUAAAAUUAUUAUUUACAAUAUAAUAAACUUUUAUUAUUUAAACCGAAAAUUGACAAGACACUUUUAAAUUAAAACAGGCGCGAUUUUUUCGGCCAAUUUUAUUGGUCGAAAAACCGUGUGGUUAGUAGAGUAUAUAAAGCGCUUAAUCCACCAUUGCGAAACAGGGGUGGUUUAAUUUAAAUAUUAAAACUAGGUAUCGGCCCAAUUUGUCUGGUCGUAAUAACACGUUAAUUACUAUUUUAUAAUAUAAUUAUAUAAAAUUUGUAAAUGUUAUUUUUGGUUCUAAUAAUUAUAUAAAAUCGGGUGGUGGUUAGCUUUUAACGUGCGGGUUAAUAUAUUUCGACCGUUAUUUAUCGUCAAUUCCGUUCGUUUAAAUUAUUUUCAUCCAGGUUGGCGUGCGUAAUAAUUUAAAAAUAAGACAUUAUUAUUUUUCAAAUUCGUGUUAGUUUUCGUCGCGCGUUUUUGGUGUAUUUCUUUUCAAAACCAGUUUCGUAAUAAUUGGUCAUUUGGAUGGAAAUUAAAUUAUUUUCGCACGACGGCGUAUAAUUAGAUUUUUUAUUGUAAAACAUUAAAUUCGUUUUAUUUUUAAAUUUUUGGUUUUUUUAAUAGGAAAAUAUCCAGUUUAAAUUUCGAGUAUUAAUAUAAACCGAAUUCCGGCGCUUAAAUAGCCAAUAGGCUGGGCCUUUAUACGCGCCGCUUAUAUUUUUACGUAAUUAAUUUGUAAACGUUGUACAAUUGGUUACCGUAUUUUUAUUUACUAAUUAAAAUUUCUAGGUACGCAGGCCUAUUUAUAAUAUAUUGCGUGGUAAAUUUAAUUAAAUGGGUGAAAACGUUAUACCUUUGCAAUUUGGAUAUUUAGGGUUUAUUUUAUAUUUAAAUCGUGCGAUUAUAUUUAACUAUUUACCGCCAGGUGGAAAGUUUUUAUGCUGUCCGUGCUCCCUAUUUAAUUACCCAAUCGCCGGGACCAUAACUCCGGCCCGUUUUUACCUCCUUUUCCUGUGCGCGCGCGCGAUUAAAGCUAUUCGAACAAUAAUAUUAAUUAAUAUUAAUAAACUUUUCGUAAUAUUAAUCGAUUAAUAAAACGUUUUUAUACGAGUAUAAAAAUAUUAAUUGUAUAUUAUAUAAAAUUGUGUAACGGUGAGGUUUUAAACGUUUUUCUGUUUUAUACCCGCAGUUGGGCGGGUUGAUUACGUGCAAUCGGCCUGUACGCUAUUAUACGUGGAUUGUCGUUUUAUUAUUAAAUUAACCGUAAUUCCCUUUAUUCCAACAGCAAUAUUACUUUAAUAUAUUAUUUUAUCAAUUGUUAAAAUGUUAUUUUCGCGUAAAUUUUAUUUUUGUUGGAAUUUUAUAAAGCUUUUAAUUUUUCAAUUUGUGGGAAGGGUAAUUUUCAUUUCCCCCUUUUUCGUAAACAGGUCGGGUUUUUUUAUUUUCUUUUUAACAUAACGUUUUUUUUCGAUUUUUUAUUUUCUUAUUUGGUGUUUAAACAUUUUAAUUACCGGGUAAUUAAUUUACAUUUAUUAUAGUUAUGGCUAUUUUAUAUUCCGGUUACAGUAUAUUAGUAAAUCGUUAAGUUUCCCUUCCGUUCGAUUUAUUUUAUAAUAUAACAUUAUAAUUUUCCCAAUAUGUUUUUAAAACUUUUCAAAUUUACGUAUUAUAUAAAUAAAAAUACCUUUCGUUCCAUUUUUCGAAUUUCUUUUGGGACGUAGUUAAAAGCCUUUUUCCGCGUUCGUCCUUUUAAAAUUAAUUAAAAGUUUUGAAAAUUUAUAUUUCCCUCCAAAUUAUUAUAACCUUUUUCAAACUUUUUGGGAGUUUAUAAAAAAGCCGUAUAAAAACUUUGCGUUAAUUCGUUUUUUUAAUAAUAAAAAUAAUGCAAUUAUAAUAACGUAUUACUAUAAAAAAUUCGCACCUUAUUAUAAGGUUUAUUAUUAAUUUGCAACUCGGUUUUUGCGUUUAUUUUAUCGUUUGUUAAUUUAUAAAAUAAUUUGUUUAAAGGGUGAAAUUUAAAAACUUUUAAAUAUUCGUAAAAUAACGGUUAUUAUUUUCUUUUUUUACGUAACGUUUUGUAAAAGCGUUACCCGUUAAAUAAAAAGGUUUUAAUUAAUUAGGACGGUUUUUUCGAAUUUCAGGUAGGAUAUUUUAAUGGUUUUAAAUAUUUAUAAAAUAACGGUACUAACGUUUAAUCCAUUUAUUUUGCUUUUUUGUAUUAUUCAAAUAAUAUUAAUAAAUGUUAGUAAGCUUUUCGUAAUGUUAAUCGAUUAACAAAACGUUGUUAUACGAAUACAAAAAUAUUAAUUAUAUAUAUUUUAUAAAAUUGUUUAAAGGUGAGCUUUCAAAUGUCCUUCCGUCUUAUACCUGCAAUUGGGCAGGUAAGUUACGUGCAAUUGGCCUGUGCGGCAUUGCACGUGGAUUAUUGCUCUAUUGUUAAAUUAACCACGAUUCUCUUUAUUCCAACAAGGAACGUUUUUUUAAAACGUAAGGAAUUAUUUUUUUCCAAUACCCUAACCUUUAUUACGAAUUGAAACUCGUCCUAACUUUAUUAAUAAAAGGUUAUUUAAUUUUUAUCAUUCCAAAUAAAAUUGCAUUGUCGUUGCAACUCCGUCCGACGCGACGCGUAAUAUAGGUCGCAAAAAGCCCCGUAUCGCCAAUUUUCGCAGCGCCAAGCGUCCGUUUCAACAAAAAUGGCCACCCAACAAAUAAUUAUACAAAUCGAUCCUGCUUGCUUAAAUAAUUUGAACAUUAAAUUAUUCUUAGGUAUGUUUUGCUUAAAUCGUAUUUGGACUUUGUUUUACCUUUCGCGGCCGUUAACCAGUCCCCGGCCAAAAAAAUAUGCGACCGGCGUGCCGCUUCCGCUGCCACCUCCCAAAUUGUAUGUCCCAAAACGACGAGCAAGGAUCGCCCAUUACCGCAUGGUCACCCGGACCCUUUUGACCCCAAAAUUGGAUUUUUUGUUACAAUGCAUAAAACGGCCAUUAUUACACAGGAAUUUCCGCGAAUGUGUUUGGGAAUAAAUUUAUAUACGACUGGAAACGGCAUAAUAAAACUCAGGGAAAAUGACGUUACCUGUGCUAAUAAUGGGUGAUAUGUAAUUGGGUAACGUUGGCAAACUGUAUGCGAAAGGUCGCAUUUUUAAUUAUAGUUGUAUAUUUUUUAGGCACUGCAAUGUUGAGAAAAAUGGUUUAAAAAAUUCUUAGAAAUCUGAUCCUCGUAUGGGUUUUUUCCGAACUUAUUAAAGAUGGAAUUUUGUGCUGUUUGUUAAUAUUACUGUGUCCGCAAUACCAUUUUUAUAAAUACUAACGUUGUAAUAGUUUUACUUUUCGCACGUUGUUUGAUUUUAUAUUUGUUCAAUUUCCCCCCAUUUAUUUAAAAGGACUUUUCGGCUUGGGUUCUGUUUUUAACGAAAAAAUGGGGUUCCUAAUAAUGGCAUAUAUUUAAUCGUGUUUAUAUAAAUAUUGCAAGGUUAUUAAAAAUAAUAUGUUUGCGUAAUAUUAACAAUAAACCGCAAAUGAAAAAUAAAAUUGAACUUUAUUCGGCCGAUAGGAUGGCGGAGGUUUAAUUUAUAUGGACUUGCCAAUUGCCGAACCCCAAAAUAAAAUUUUGCGACCCUCCCUAAACAGAAAACGACAUCCAGGCGGCGAACAACGUUUUACAAACUCCUGAAUAUUUUGUUGAGCUCUUUUGAAAGUAUCCACUUUUUUCGGCUAUUUGGCAACCCUGUGAAAGCUUAUUAACAUAUAUAUGGCCUUUGGCAAGAGCUGAAAACGUAGCCGCCAAGCGGAGAGAGGUUGUGGCUAUUAUACAGGCGCAGCAAUCGAAACUGUCGGCAUUCUCAAUGCUCUGCUACAUAAAACCUGUAGCCUUCCCAUCUAAUAUCUACAGCGAAGGCUUUUUUUUUAAUUCCACGUGAAUUAAGGUUUUUUUUCAUUCCUUCUUUGCUUAUAAUAUUCGCUACGCCGAUAACUCCAGGGUUAGUGGGCCUUCUUAUUUACCUUCUCGCCCAAUACGGCUAAACCUGGUAGCGGCCUGGCUGGUGGGGUGGAAUGAUAAUUUUAAAAGCAGGAUUGAAAGCCUAAUCCUUACAUUGCAUAAUUUCAAGGCUUUGUUGGACAUAUCGUCCCAUUAUCUGCAUUAUAAUAGUUAUUAAUCGUGCUGAUAUGCAAACAGGAGCGCAUUGUAGCAAAUAAUAAAUUAAAAUGAGUUGCUAUAUAAAGCCAACAGCAUAAAUUAUGCGCAAAUUGUUUUUAUAAUAAUAGAUUAAUUAAUUUGAUAAUUUAGUAGCAAAAUAAUAGUGCGCUAGCUAAUCAAAGAAAAAAGUAUAUAAU